rnacentral:lncRNA from 1 species
CACUGCUUAUUCUUGUUGAUGUUGUCGUUGAACUUACGCCAAGGUCGAUCCACGAUCUUGUCUUUGUGGAAGCACAACUUAAUGGCGAUCGUAUCCGCGGGUUCAGUGAAAUCGCUCCACUUGACCGUGAUGGAAUCCGCGCCACCGGUCAGUGUCUGCGCGUAUCGGGAUGACAGGUUCGCGGUAAGAAGUCGCGGUACGAGGUGGCUAGUCCCGAAGACAUGGCAGCGAGGCAGUGUGUCCAGCGCAGCACUCAACCGCGCCGCAGGUGCAUAGUUGUUGACUAAUGCGGCCCGGGCGCGGGUUCGAAUGAUAAAGUUACGGCGCCUCGCAGAAGACGAACCGCGGAGACGCACUCACCU